rnacentral:rRNA from 1 species
CGCUGGCGGCGUGCUUAACACAUGCAAGUCGAACGAUGAAGCCUAGCUUGCUAGGUGGAUUAGUGGCGCACGGGUGAGUAAUAUAUAGAUAAUGUGCCUCUUAGUCUGGGAUAGCCAUUGGAAACGAUGAUUAAUACUAGAUACUCCUUCUCAUUAUAAUUUGAGUCGGGAAAGUUUUUUCGCUAAGAGAUCAGUCUAUAUCCCAUCAGCUUGUUGGUAGUGUAAGAGACUACCAAGGCUAUGACGGGUAGCGGGUUUGAGAGGAUGAUCCGCCACACUGGUACUGAGACACGGACCAGACUCCUACGGGAGGCAGCAGUGAGGAAUAUUGCACAAUGGGGGAAACCCUGAUGCAGCAACGCCGCGUGGAGGAUGACGCAUUUCGGUGUGUAAACUCCUUUUAUAUGUCAAGAAAAUGACGGUAGCAUAUGAAUAAGCACCGGCUAACUCCGUGCCAGCAGCCGCGGUAAUACGGAGGGUGCAAGCGUUAUUCGGAAUCACUGGGCGUAAAGGACGCGUAGGCGGGAUAGUAAGUCUGAUGUGAAAUCCUAUGGCUUAACCAUAGAACUGCAUUGGAAACUACUAACCUAGAGUAUGGGAGGGGGAGAUGGAAUUAGUGGUGUAGGGGUAAAAUCCGUAGAUAUCACUAGGAAUACCGAAAGCGAAGGCGAUCUCCUGGAACAAUACUGACGCUAAGGCGUGAAAGCGUGGGGAGCAAACGGGAUUAGAUACCCCGGUAGUCCACGCCCUAAACGAUGAACACUAGUCGUCGGAAUGCUAGUCAUUUCGGUGAUGCACUUAACAGAUUAAGUGUUCCGCCUGGGGAGUACGGU